AUUCUCUUAAAUACAAAAUGUCAUUGACGAAAAAUUAAAUUAAAUCAGUGUCUUUGAAGGAAAGGAAUACAAUUUACAACGAUCCAAUAUUAAAGUAUUAUUUACUUGUCGGAAAUAUAACUUUUAACAAUAUGAAGAACGUCAAACAGUUUACACCAAAAAAGCCGUCAUCAACACAGCAAGUUGCCAAGAAGCACCUGAAACGUCAUGUCAAACGUCUGAGAGACCGAGAGUAUUCAAGACUCCGUCAAAUGGUACCUUCAAUUGCCGAAAAGGAAAAGGUGUCAAAGGUAACUGUAAUUGAAGAGGCUGUAAAGUACAUUGACGAACUACACCAGGCUUUGAUGGAAAGAAUGCAAAAUAAAGGUUUUCCAAAUUCAGAGGGCGUACAAACUCAUAAUAUACAAGAUUUUAUCCACACGAUGUUUCCCGCCAACUUUUUACGACGUGAACCAGCACCGUCACCAGUGUUAUAUGAAAAACAACAGAAAGUGCCGUCCUUCCUUUUACGCCUCAACAAAGACAGAAAACACUUGUAGUUAAAGGAAAACUAUGAGAUACCAUGUGAUAAAAGCGUCACUGUGAUAAAGACGGGCAAUGUGAUAUGGCUCCAAUGAAUGUUAAAGUAAUGCAGACAUCGAAAGAUAAAAACAAUUUCGAUGAAAAUAACAGGAACUUAGUCAACAUUUCGAUGUUAAUUUCAAAGAUAUGGAAUUUUUCAAGUGAAUGAACAUUUGCCAGAUGAAACUAUUUUAAUUGGACAUUACAAGUUUAAAACUUCAUGGAAUAUAUUCUAAUGGAUUGUAUGACUAGAAAACUUGUUGUCCUAAAUGAGAAUUUUUAAGGACCGUUACAGACAAUUCAACAUUUGGAUACUUGGUUGCAUUAAAAGACCACGUGACAAACAUUACAUUGGAGACUUAGAUUUAUGGUGAAUUAAUGUAAUUAAAUUGUGCCAAAUUAUUUACACGAAUUUUAUUAUAUAAAACAUAUGAACUUAUAUUGU